rnacentral:rRNA from 1 species
GACGAACGCUGGCGGCGUGCUUAACACAUGCAAGUCGAACGGAAAGGCCCUGCUUUUGUGGCGUGCUCGAGUGGCGAACGGGUGAGUAACACGUGAGUAACCUGCCCUUGACUGUGGGAUAACUUUAGGAAACUGGGGCUAAUACCCGAUAGGAGCUCCUGCUGCAUGUUGGUGGUUGGAAAGUUCCGGCGGUUGGGGAUGGACUGGCGGCUUAUCAGCUUGUUGGUGUGGUAGUGGCUUACCAAGGCUUCGAAGGGUAGCCUGCCUGGGAGGGGGACCGGCGUCCAUAGGACUACGGGACGGCCCAGACGGCAACGGGCGGCAGCGGUGGAAAGUAUUGCAGAAUGGGCGGGAGUCAGAUACAGCAGCGCCGCGUGCGGGAUGACCGGCUUCGGGUUAUGAACCGAUUUCGCCGGAGACGAGGCGAGCGUGACGGUAAUGAGUAAAGAAGCACCGGCUAACUACGUG